CCCCUAGAUGUUCUGGGCCGCACGCGCGCUACACUGAACAGUUCAACAAGUCUUAACCUUGGCCGAUAGGUCUGGGUAAUCUUUGAACGCUGUUCGUGAUUGGGAUAGACCUUUGCAAUUAUGGGUCUUCAACGAGGAAUUCCUAGUAAACGCAAGUCAUCAGCUUGCAUUGAUUACGUCCCUGCCCUUUGUACACACCGCCCGUCGCUCCUACCGAUUGAAUGGUCCGGUGAAAUCUCGGGACGGCGGCUCGGUCGCUUGCGUCCGACUGCUGAAACUUGAUUAAACCAUAUCAUUUAGAGGAAGGUGAAGUCGUAACA
rnacentral:rRNA from 1 species